rnacentral:rRNA from 1 species
UUCUAUUAAUAGCCUAUUUAAAGGGUUGGAAAAUACGAACAAUAGUUUAAACACCAAAGAAUUUGGCGGUGCCUCAACUAAUUAGGGGAACCUGUCCCUUAAAUCGAUAAUCCACGAAAGUCCCACCUAAUUUUGAAACUCAGUUAGUGUACUGCCGUCUAAAGUAUACCUUUAUGAGAGCAUACAACUUAUUAUUAAUGUUAAUAAUAUUACGUCAGGUCAAAGUGCAGCUUAUAGUUAGGAGGAGAUGGGUUACAAUCUUAAUAAAGACUAUGAAUAAAAAUAAUAAAUUAUUUUUUGAAGGUGGACUUAACAGUAAUUACAUGAAUAUUAUAAUGAAAAUUAUC